UCAGAUGUAUUCUUCAGUAACGAAUUUUGACUUGAAAGUCAUGAUAUAAGGCAAGUCAAGAAAAUAAAUCCCCACAACAAUAAAUUCAGCUCUAGUGAGAUCAAGAAAUUUCUCCGUGAUCCAAAGUAUUCAACACUAGUCAAACUAUUAGGCCGUGAUCCAAAAUAUUCAACACUAGUCAAACAACUAUUAGGCUGAAGCAAGAUUUUAUAUCCAUUUCAAAAGAAUAAUUCUAUAACUUAGUGGUUCAAAAAUCCCCGAGU
rnacentral:lncRNA from 1 species